GCGCAUGCGCUCCUCCGCCGCCGGCUACCGCUGUUAAACCUUCUAGAUGCCAGGGCGCCUGCGCAAGGCCGCCCCGCAGCAGGUGGCACCCACACGGCUCCGCCCCCGAGUCACCUUAACCCACUCGGUGCCAGAGCCGGUAAGCUACAGCGCAACCCUGAAGGAGCAAGACUUCUGCCCCCGCCGAGUCACUUCCCUUCCCCUUCCACCAAACCAAGGCAUUUGGGGGGUCGGGGGAGAAUCUCCCUCCAGCAUGAAGUACCCCAAAUAGAGGACCUGGUCUUGAGAUAUUUGGGAAUCUGGUCCAAACUCUGCAGGGUUAGGUAAAUUACAGAUGCAUUUGUUCAUUGAUUGAAUCCGCUGAGCACAGUGCUAGAUAUAUAUGGAAGGUAAGAGGACUAACAGAAAUCCUGGCCCUCAAGGAAUUCACGGUCUACGGGAGUGGAAGAAAAGUAAACAAAUAAUGCAUCAAGUAUUGCUAGAAUUAUUUGGGGAAUCGCUGAGCAAGCUAAAGGGAUGGGGGUGGGGGGGCAUCUCAGAAAAGCCUUCCCAGAGAAGAUGCUGCGGUGAUAUCUAAGCCGAGUCUUGGGGACGAGUAGGAGUUCGCCAGACAGAGAAGCGGGGGUGAGGCGUUCCAGGCGAAGGGAACAGCAGCACGUACAAAACGUACGAAGGCACGGAGGUGUGGAGGGGGAAAGCACAGGCCACAGCGAUUGGCAGCGGUUGGAAGUGAGCGAUGAGCGCGCAGCGAGAGAGAAACAGAGGAUGAGGACGGAGGCCCCUCCCAAGGGGCGCAGGAGAGAUGGCUCCAGCGGUGGCCUUCCUGCUAAGUGCCUGUGUGAUCUCUGACGUGUGAGAGCCCCCGUUUCUGACUUGAUUUCUUCACCUGGAAAAACGGGGAUCAUAAUACAUCCCAAAACAGAGUCGUAAAAAUCAAAAACAAUACAGUUCGGAAGAACUAACUUGUACUGGGUACGGGCUAUGUCUCAGGGCCCCGUGCUGGACACUUGGGCACAAUUCAUCUCAUCUCACCGAGCUUCGGAGUCCUCAGCCCUGUGUGCUGAGUGUUUUAGGAGACGUCACCCAGUUUCAGAUACCUCCCUUCUUCUGCUCUGAGCUCCAAAGAAAGCAAGCAAGUGGCUUCGAAGCCGUGCCGGCUGCCUUUCUGGGGCUAGGAAUCAACUUUGGCUCUGCUCUACCGUUUCCCAAAUUCUCGUGAGCGUCUGGGCUUUAGGAAAAGCUACCAGACGAGCCCCAGCUGAGUGAAUUCGGGUUUGAUUCGAGUGGAAACUUUUGGACGUAGAACUAAGUACUGGAAUGUGUGUCCAAGGUCGGGGUGAUUAAAUGCUCGUUUGUCUGACAGAAGACUGGAGGCCAGAGAGCUGUCUUAGCGCUAUAUAUACACACAGGCGCCCUAUUAACGGUAUAGCAACAACAUACCCUGUUUAUCCAGUAGACAGGUGCGUCUUAGGACUUGAGCAGGUUUAAAUUUACCAAGUCGAUCCUGGAUAAAUAUAAGAUCUGUGCGUUUUACAGAACAGAAACUGGACUCCGGCGGGCGGGCCGGGGGCAGAAUGCGGGAAGGAACCUUGGCUCAUCUCACAUGGCCCUGAGCCCUGUCUCUCCAACCUGUCCUGGGACCCUGCGGCAGCUGAGGGCCAAGCUAUGUGGCCCAAGUCCCCGGGGAAUGUGGGCAAUGUGGGCUUGGCAAGUGGGAAUGUCGGGAAUGAGUCCACAGUCCAGGGUUCAGAUCUCACGGUUGGGCUGCGCCCUGCCCUGACAUCCUCCCUUAAAGAUGAGAGCUCCGCGCUCCGGGAGCUCUGAAUCCUGCCCCUGAAUCAUAUUGCUUUUCUGAGCCCAUGUGUGUGUCUUAUUAUAGCGGGAAAGACUGCACCCAGUCUGGCUCAGGCUGCAAGGCACUAAAUACGCUAUUAAAACACUCCCUAAACUUGGGGUCCAACAAGACCACACAUGCAGUUGUCUUUAUUAUCAAACUAGUGGCUCAGUGCACGAAAUUCGUGCAGGGGGGGUGUGUCUCUC